rnacentral:misc_RNA from 1 species
GACAGAUUCAGCCACUUCUGAUCGCCGGAUGGACGCUCAAUUUUGAAAUGUUCUUCUACGUGAUAUUUGCUGCCUCACUGCUGUUGUCCGGGCGGUCGAGAGCAACUUUCGUUUUCGCAGUCCUUGGGUUACUGGUGGCGAUCGGUCAGGUCUUGCCGUCGGUCAGUCCGGUGAUGACAACUUACACCAGUCCACUUCUCUUAGAAUUUGCUUUGGGUUGCUUGCUAGGAUUGAUCUAUCAAUACCAACUGCUGCCGCGACCUUCUCUAGGCGUUACACUCUGCAUUCUAGGGGGCAUCUUGCUUU